UUUAUUUGAUAGUCGUCCUACAUACUACAUGGAUAACCGUGGUAAUUCUAUGGCUAAUACAUGCGCAAAUACUAUAUCUUUAGGGUAUAGUAGUGUUUAUUAGAUACAGAACCAACACGCUCCUUUUUGGGGGUGUCAAAAUGAGGUGAUUCAUAGUAACCGAACGGAUCGCAUUAUGAUCAUAUUAUUAUGAUUGGCGAUAGAUCAUUCAAGUUUCUGACCUAUCAGCUUUCGACGGUAGUGUAUUGGACUACCGUGGCAGUGACGGGUAACGGGGAAUUAGGGUUCGAUUCCGGAGAGGGAGCCUGAGAAACGGCUACCACAUCUAAGGAAGGCAGCAGGCGCGCAAAUUACCCAAUCCUGACUCAGGGAGGUAGUGACAAGAAAUAACAACACUGGAAAUUCAAUUUCUAGUGAUUGGAAUGAUGGGAAUCCAAACCCCUUUCAGAGUAACAAUUGGAGGGCAAGUCUGGUGCCAGCAGCCGCGGUAAUUCCAGCUCCAAUAGCGUAUAUUAAAGUUGUUGCAGUUAAAAAGCUCGUAGUUGGAUAUCUGCUGGAAGCAAUCAGUCCGCCCUAUUUUAGGGUGUGCACUUGAUGAAUUCUGGCAUCUAUUAUCCUUAAUAUAAUGAUUAUUGAAUUGAUUUUCAACAAUCAUCUAUUAGGAAUAAUACAGUUACUUUGAGAAAAUUAGAGUGUCUGAAGCAGGCUUAUUGCCUUGAAUACCGCAGCAUGGAAUAACAAUAUAGGA
rnacentral:rRNA from 1 species